rnacentral:lncRNA from 1 species
GAGAUUAAAUAUAAACUGACACAUUAGGGCACUGCUAAUAUAGACAUUGAUAAUACACAUUUAUUAGUAAUGAGUAGCAAGUAAAACAGACACAUUGUGUUUGUUGUUUAAAAGAUAAAACAAAAUACACACCUAUAUUUAUACCGCAUCAACAAAUUAUAUGUUUACUGGACAUGGGAUAACGAAAAUUAUAAUUUAAACAUCACCAUGUAAAUCAGGUGACGAGGAAGAUGACAGAAAACAUAUUUCAGACGUAACGUAAUACCUGUGAAACAAUGAAAUAUUGUUUAGUUGUUUCACUUGUCGCUUUAAAUGAUUCAAAUUUUAUGUGUUUUUUACUUUCACAGGUCCCUCGUUUUGCGACUCUGAGACUGUGUGGCACCCUUAUUCGUAAAUUGUAUUCCACUUCGAUAUCAAUAAUGCAUAAACUUUGAUAAACAAAGCAUUUAAAACCAAUGAAUAUAAUCAAUUCUACUUUUAACUAUACAUUUUAUACCGUUGUUCUACGUUUUAUCAAAUAUUGAGACAUUGUCAUGACGUUUUCCAACAGUAUAGGUAUAAAUUCAGGAUUUUUAUUCAUUUGACAUAAUGUAUUGACACAUGUUGAAAACUUUACGUUGACCUCUUAAUCUCUUUUAGGUAUGCGUGUCUAUAGUACAUUUACAUAUAUCCCACACGAGCCUUUCUCUUAAUUUGCAAGAGUAUAACUUAAAACCAAUAUCAAAAACUGCAAUUAUGGGUUACGAGUUUUUUUUAAGUCAGAUUUAUUCAAUUAUUGUAUCAAUAAAACCAAUUAAAGGCCCAGAAAAAACCUUUCAUUACUUUACAAAUAAAAACAAACAGCAGCAUAGUAUAAAC